AUUGAACGCUAGCGGGAUGCCUUACACAUGCAAGUCGAACGGAGUGGCGAACGGGUGAGUAAUGUAUCGGAACGUGCCCAGUAGCGGGGGAUAACUCCGCGAAAGCGUAGCUAAUACCGCAUACUAUUGGAGCGGCCGAUAUCGGAUUAGCUAGUUGGGGGGGGAACGGCUCACCAAGGCUACGAUCAGUAGCUGGUGUGAGAGGACGACCAGCCACACUGUGACUGAGACACGGCCCAGACUCCUACGUGAGGCAGCAGUGGGGAAUUUUGGACAAUGGGGGAAACCCUGAUCCAGCCAUCCCGCGUGUGCGAUGAAGGCCUUCGGGUUGUAAAGCACUUUUGUCAGGAAAGCGGUACCUGCAGAAUAAGCACCGGCUAACUACGUGCCAGCCGCCGCGGUAAUUC
rnacentral:rRNA from 1 species